rnacentral:lncRNA from 1 species
UACAAGGAGGAGUCUUUAUGAACAUGAUAUAUAUUAUAAAGACAAGCAUUGAUUAGGGGGAGUGUUAGGAAUUAAUUAAAUAUAUUUAAUUAAGGGUUAAUCCCUGCUAUGUCGGUUGCUUUAGUUUAGCAACUGCUCCUUGUAACCGCCUUUGUACUGGGGUAUAUAUACCCACAUCUUCAAUCAAUGAAACAGCGAUUUCAUCAUUUGCUCUUCCUCUCUUCUUCUACUCUUCACAU